GCGGACGUGGCGGAAUUGGUAGACGCGCUAGACUUAGGAUCUAGUGCCAAACGGCGUGGGGGUUCGAGUCCCUUCGUCCGCA
rnacentral:tRNA from 1 species